UACGAAGGGGGCUAGCGUUGCUCGGAAUCACUGGGCGUAAAGGGCGCGUAGGCGGUCUUUUAAGUCGGGGGUGAAAGCCUGUGGCUCAACCACAGAAUUGCCUUCGAUACUGGGAGACUUGAGUUCGGAAGAGGUUGGUGGAACUGCGAGUGUAGAGGUGAAAUUCGUAGAUAUUCGCAAGAACACCGGUGGCGAAGGCGGCCAACUGGUCCGACACUGGACGCUGAGGCGCGAAAGCGUGGGGAGCAAACAGGA
rnacentral:rRNA from 1 species